AGCUCCAAUAGCGUAUAUUUAAGUUGCUGCAGUUAAAAAGCUCGUAGUUGAAUUUCAGGAAUUUCUGUCAGGCUGAUUUUUCAUGUCCUGAUUUGGUUUCCUUAUUGCCGCGGGAUAAUAGAUGGUUUAAUUACUUUUGAAUUGUCGUGCGGUACUGUUACUGUGAGUAAAUUAGAGUGUUCAAUGCAGGCGGUUGCCGUGAAUACAUUAGCAUGGAAUAACAUGAUCAACUCUGGUCAAUCCUGUUGGCCUGUGACUUCAGAGUAAGUGGUUAAGAGGGACAGUCGGGGGCAUUCGUAUUUCGUAGUCAGAGGUGAAAUUCUUGGAUUUAUGAAAGACGAACUUCUGCGAAAGCAUUUGCCAAGGAUGUUUUCA
rnacentral:rRNA from 1 species